CUAUUUUUGUUCUUGCUUGUAUCAUGGUCACUUUUUUCUCCUCCUCCUCCUCCUCCUCUUCUUCCUCUUCCUCCUCCUCCUCCUCGCCUCCUCUUUUUUUCCUCUUCCUCUUCCUCACCUUGAUGUCUAUUGUCGGGAGCAGCGUGACGGGAGAGGCGGUGUGUGAGUGUGGCCUGUUUCUGAGUGAGAGGGAAGGAGGGCAGGAGAUCAUGACCCUCUCCCCUCCCCUCCCUCUCCCCUCCUGCGCCUCCUACAUCGCCUGCAGGAGGGAUUGCGUUCAGCAGUUUGCGGAGUGGCGUGGUGACAUGGGCCAUCUGUUGCCUGAAGGUGUAACGGUGGGCCAGCUGCUUUGUGGCCACCUGUCCUCCCGUGGCCGCCCUCACCUGCCGCCCCAACAGGUGCACCUCUACCUAAGCGUGUGUGGCGGAACGUGGCAGUACACAGAGGCAAGCUUCCCUGACCCCCUAUGCUGCUCUGCCGGGGCCUUCUCCUCCUGCAGGGGCGGCGGGGCAGGCGGGGCUGGGCGGGGCAGGUUUCUCUCCGCCCCAGCUCUUGUCCUCUCCCGCCCCUCGCACGCCGCUGGUCCCUCCGCCACCGCCUCCGUCAGAGUGUUCAUACCUACCUCCUCCCGUGAUGUCCCUCGUUUUCUUUCCAUGUAGAGAGAGAGAGAGAGAGAGAGAGAGAGAGA